UCAGACGAUGCGUCAUGCAUAUCAAUAAGCGGAGGAAAAGAAACUAACGAGGAUUCCCUUAGUAACGGCGAGUGAAGCGGGAAGAGCUCAAAUUUGAAAUCUUCAAGGUUUUACCUUGACGAAUUGUAGUUUAAAGAAGUGUUUUCUGCUGAAGUUUUGGUAAAAGUUCUUUGGAAUAGGACAUCAUAGAGGGUGAGAAUCCCGUAUUUGACCAUUAUUUUCAGCUUUGUGAUACACUUUCAAAGAGUCGGAUUGUUUGGGAAUGCAGUCCAAAAUGGGUGGUAAAUUUCAUCUAAAGCUAAAUAUUGGCGAGAGACCGAUAGCGAACAAGUACCGUGAGGGAAAGAUGAAAAGAACUUUGAAAAGAGAGUUAAACAGUACGUGAAAUUGUCAAAAGGGAAGCGUUUGACACCAGUGUUGUUUUCUCGAAAAUCAAUUAAAAAUGGCUCGAUUUUGUAUUGCUUGAGACCUUAAAAGCUCACUGUACAUUUUUCGUGUCUUUUUUAAUGCACUUUUCGUUUAACAAGUCAACAUCAGUUUCUUUUGUUGUAAAAGGGUCAUUGGAAGGUGGCUUUCUUUUCGGAGAAAGUGUUUAUAGCCUUUGGCCUCUGCAAUCGGAGAGACUGAGGUCUGCAGCGUAGACUCUUCGGGGUUAGAUACAUUUGUGCUAAGUUAUAGCUUUUUAUAGACAACUUGUUGACUAUAAUUAGUCUUGUAGCUUACUCGCUUAUACUAUUUUACCUACGCUUAGGAUGUUGAACUACUGAGACAUAGA
rnacentral:rRNA from 1 species